AAGUUAGAAAGCAAGAUGGAUUUCUAUGUUGGUGAAUUUUGAAUUUGCAACCUCUAUGCAAGUUGAACAUUGACUGUAACUGCAAUUGAUUGUGUAUAGGUAUCUUUGAUUGAAAGUAAGGAGAAGAAAAUGAAAUGGGAAAGCUUUGUUGUGAGGCAAAGUAGAAUUUUAGGGAUUUGCGAUAUUGUAAACUCGGAUGUGUGCGGAAUGAUAAACUUCAAUCUUCUGAGAAUUCACGAUCCCUAUCGUCGGAUUUUGGGUAUGUAUUUGAUUCUGAACAUUUUUUUUUUUUUGGUGACUCGUGAGCAUUGGUUUUUGAUUGUUAUUUGUUCACAGUGAAUGAAACCUCAUUUAUUAUGUGAUUCUAUAGACUAAUCAAAUCAGUACUAAAGCAAUUAUAAUUUUUUUAUUUUUUUGUUUUUGUUUUUUUUUUUUCUGUAUUUUUUUUUAUUCUUUGACAUCUAAAAAUGAAUUUAGAGUACGCUACUUUCGAAUGUUCUAAACAUUAAAUUACCUUGGCAUUGCAGCAAAGUUUAAUCUUAGAAGAUAUUUAUGUAAGUAUGGUAUGGAAAGAAUUGGAGUUUUAUCUUGGUUGUCAAACUGAGCUACUUUAAAAUGCUUCGACGUUGCUUCUUAUGAAGGUUUAUCUCUCUCUCCCUCUCUCUUUUUAUAUAACUUAAAGUUGUAUAUAACUGUAACACCCAUUUAUAUUUAUUAAAACUAACUUGUGAUGUUUGUUGUUGGUGAGCCAAGUAAUUCACCCUAACCAAAACCCAUUUUGAAUACAUAAUAUCAAACAAUCCUUGAACACCCAAAGGACUAGGCAAAAGAAGCUGCAAGUGCAAGUGAGGUGUAGUAAAAUGCCACCCUUUGAAGUAAGCAGUUACCUCAAAUCCUAACAAAACCACAGAUAACCAUAAAAGGAACUUGAUACAAGUAUAGAAUCUGCUCUUCACAGCAGGAUUCUCAUUUCUAUUAAUCUGAAUGCCACUAUCGGCAUCAGUUCUACCAGAAGAAACUCGACGGCGAAUCGCAGCAGUUAAGCCUACCAUUGCAGAAGCAAUUGAAGCCAAACAUCCAGCAGCUUUGUGAGCUUUAAGAAGAAGAACCCAAGUAAGUUGCUUGGCAUUCUUCUCUCUACCUUUAUCACCACUUAAAUGUAAAUCAUCUUCAAGUUCAAGCAUAGACCAAUUGGGGUUUUGCAUCUUCACAACAACUGGUGUUCCUUCAAGUUUCUCAUUUGCAAACCAAUCAAAAGAAGGAGCCAUAUUCAAAAAUCUCAAAUACCCACUUCACAAAAUCAAAUUUCAAACAACCCCUUUUCUUCUCAAAACUCAAAUCACUCAAAAAUUUAAACUUCAAUACACCACAUCAAUGUUCUUCAAUAUCUCAUUUACAGAAAAAAAAAAAACAGAACAAAACCAUUAAUGAAGAAGAAGAAUGAAAAGAGAAACAAUAGAAGGAGAAAUAAAAGCAAAAGAAAAUCGAAUAAGAUAUGACAGUGGUUGUAGUGGUGGAACCGAAUGAUGGCAUGGAUGAUGAAUUAGAGAGGAGAGAGAAAGCAGGUGUGCUGAUGGUGGCGGUGGUGGUGGUGGUGGAAGAGAAGCGAAAAGGAGAUGAGGAAGGGUUGCAGAAAUUGAAGAUUUGUUGUUGUUGAACAAGAAGACGAGGAGUUUGUUAUAGUGAAGGAGGAGGAGGAGGUGGUAACAGUUAGGUUUUGGUGGUGGUGGUGAUUUUCAUGAUCGAAAUCGAUCUCCUCCUCCACCUCCAAGAGAAAGAGAGAGAGAUUAUAAAAGAAGACUUAGCCCUAGUCCUCCUCCUUAUCGUGACCGUCGACAUUCUCCACCGCCUUCUAAUGCUGUAUGUACUAGUUUGAAGAAUUGAAGAAUUGAAGAGAGAAGAGAGAAGAGAGAAGAGAGAAGAGAGAAGAGAGAAGAGAGAAGAGAGAAGAGAGAAGAGCCCAAGGCCCAACUCCCAAGCCCAUAGUUAACGAGCUGCUCGGCUCGGCUCGGGCUCGUGACGAGCUCAAAAACCGGCUCGAACUCGGCUUGUUUAGAUAAAUGAGCGAGCCGAUCCGAGCUUUUAUCGAGCCGAGCCCGAGCCGCUCGGCUCAGAUUGCAGCCCUAAAAACUAUUGUUAAUUUUGGCCAUUUUACCUUUUGGCUUGUGUUCUGUUUGUCAAUGUUGGAGGUUUUCGGAAUGAAAAGAAUAGGAUUUUUCUCUUGCUUUCCGAACUCGAAUACUUGAAGCGGCUUCAGACUUUGCAUUGUAUUCAAGUGUAUAUCUCGUUCCUUCUCUCUUUCUCUAUAAACUGCAUUGCUGAAUUUUUUUAUUAAACCGCAUUGCGGAAUUCCUGAGAAUACCAUGUUUAUGUUGAAGUUGUAGACUUGUAGUAUCAUUCAGUAUGUUUAAUGUUAAACGAUUAAUUUGGCUACAUAGAUGUUCUUCUUUUGUGCAAUGCAAUAGACACAACAUGGAAGAGAUUUGCAAGUGGAAGUGAUAUUGCUUGAUAUUGUUGUAUGAAUGAGUUGAGCAAAUGUAAGUAUAGAAAUCAUAAAUCUUUAUUAAUCUGAAGGUAACACAAAGACAGAUUUUUUAUUUUUAGGACUUCUCAAAAGUAACCAAAGUGGAUAUAAGCAAAAGUAAAGGAUAGCCAAUUAUUGGAGCAAAUGAAACAUAAAGCUAAAGGAAAGUGGUUUUUCAGUUGUCUAAAGAUUGAUUCUUGAAUAGCGGCCGCUCACUGANNNNNNNNNNNNNNNNNNNNNNNNNNNNNNNNNNNNNNNNNNNNNNNNNNNNNNNNNNNNNNNNNNNNNNNNNNNNNNNNNNNNNNNNNNNNNNNNNNNNUUCUGUAUUUUUGUAUGUGUAGUUAUGAGGUAAAUUAUGUAAUAUAAAUUUGUGGGUAUUUUAGUGUAUUAUGCACGUUACCUCUUGUUCUUCUUUGAUUCGCUUGUUUUUCUUGUUUGUUGCGGCCUCUUCAAUUUCAUCAAGAUCCACAAUUUCUUUCCUUGCCUUUUUGUUGGGUGUUCUUGGUCCUGGGAAGCACCUGUUUUUUGGUAGAUGUAUACCGGUGACCAGAUUGGACGUGUAUAAUUGAUGGAUUAUUUAAUAUUUAUAUUGUAAUUAAUUUAGAGUCAAUGUUUAUAUGGUUUUACUUGAGUGGUCUCUGACAUAGCUUGAUCUUUGUCCUCUGCAGUUGCAUCAACAGUCAAUGUUGGGCAGGAAAAUUAUCCGUCAGGCCACUCUUUGUUUUUCUCAGUCACUUUAAUAUGGAAAUUUGCCUCCUUCCCUUCGACUUUCUCCAAGUACUCUUUGAUUAUAUCGAUUCCAUUGCUAGUAAUUUCUCUACAGAAUGGGUUUUCCGCUCCUUGUCCGAAUGCAGUUACCGUGACCAUAUUUGUAGCGUCGUAAAGCUGUAAAUGCAGCUUGCAUCUUGAAUUGAGAAAUUGUUAGAAUGCUUGUAGACAUAAAUUUAACAAAAUAAUAGUAGGUGAUUGUAAGUAUAUGGUAUGAAGGAGACGUACAAUAAGAAAGUAUUUUCUGUAGGUCCACAUUCCGGGCAUUGGGAAAUGAAGUACCCCUGUUUGUUUGCAAGAAGUUUAAGUUGGGAGCUUUAAAUUGUUAGUAAUAUGAGAGGCUAUUUUUCUCGGGGGGGCAAUAUUU
rnacentral:lncRNA from 1 species